AUGGCCAAGAUCAAUGAGGCAAUCGCAACAGGUUCAACGGUGGACAUGAGUGAGCUGCUAAGCUCGUUCACAAAUGACAUUGCGUGUCGCGCUAUAUCAGGCAAGUUCUUCCGAAAAGAAAGUCGUAACAAGCUAUUCCAGGACCUGAUCAAUGAUAGCACACGACUGCUAGGAGGAUUCAUCCUUGAGGAGUACUUCCCUGUCCUGCGUGCUCAAGUGGGUUGUUUGUGCAAAAGCCGAGAGAAUGAAGAAGAGAUGGCUGAUCUACUUGAAAAGGUGAUUGAUGACCACGAUAGCAAGGACAGUGCGAUGUCUGAUCAGAAAGCGGGUGCUGAUUUUAUCGAUGUUCUGCUAUCUGUCCAACAAGAGUAUGAUCUAACCAGAGAGCACAUCAUAGCUAUGCUGACAGACAUAUUUUUUGGAGCAACAAGCACAUCAUCUCAAACACUUGAGUUCACCCUUGUUGAACUUGUAAAGAGGCCACACAUGAUGAGGAACUUACAAGACGAGGUCAGGAGUAACAACAUACAUCGGGGAGAAGGAGCAUUCAGCAAAGUCAACCAGAACAACAUGAUUUACCUGAAAGCAGUCAUUAAAGAAUCGCUCCGGCUACAUCCUGUGGCGCCUCUCCUUUCUCCGCAUCUUGCAAUGGCUGACUGUUGCAUCGAUGGUUACACAGUUCCGAGUGGCACACAAAUAUUUGUUAAUGCUUGGGCUAUUGGCAGAGACGCGAGCUCCUGGGAGGACGCAGAUGAAUUCAUGCCUGAAAGGUUUUUAGACGACGGCAAUGCAGCACUUUUCAAUUUCAAGGGAAAUGAUUUCCGAUUUUUUCCAUUUGGGGCAGGACGAAGGAUGUGCCCUGGAAUCAACUUUGCGGUUGACAGCAUAGAGAUCAUGUUGGCGACACUUAUGUACUAUUUUGAUUGGGAGCUACCCCAAGGGUUGGAACCAAAUGAUGUUGAUACGACGGAGGUGUUUGGGCUAACGGUGCGCAGAAGGGAGAAGCUUCUCUUAGUUCCCAAAUUAUCUAGCCACCUACAUGGAUUGGAUAUUGCACCGUAA
rnacentral:rRNA from 1 species